ACAGAGGGUGCGAGCGUUAAUCGGAUUUACUGGGCGUAAAGCGUGCGUAGGCGGCUGAUUAAGUCGGAUGUGAAAUCCCUGAGCUUAACUUAGGAAUUGCAUUCGAUACUGGUCAGCUAGAGUAUGGGAGAGGAUGGUAGAAUUCCAGGUGUAGCGGUGAAAUGCGUAGAGAUCUGGAGGAAUACCGAUGGCGAAGGCAGCCAUCUGGCCUAAUACUGACGCUGAGGUACGAAAGCAUGGGGAGCAAACAGGAUUAGAUACCCUGGUAGUCCAUGCCGUAAACGAUGUCUACUAGCCGUUGGGGCCUUUGAGGCUUUAGUGGCGCAGCUAACGCGAUAAGUAGACCGCCUGGGGAGUACGGUCGCAAGACUA
rnacentral:rRNA from 1 species